rnacentral:rRNA from 1 species
GACGAACGCUGGCGGCGUGCCUAAUACAUGCAAGUCGAACGCUUCUUUCCUCCCGAGUGCUUGCACUCAAUUGGAAAGAGGAGUGGCGGACGGGUGAGUAACACGUGGGUAACCUACCCAUCAGAGGGGGAUAACACUUGGAAACAGGUGCUAAUACCGCAUAACAGUUUAUGCCGCAUGGCAUAAGAGUGAAAGGCGCUUUCGGGUGUCGUUGAUGGAUGGACCCGCGGUGCAUUAGCUAGUUGGUGAGGUAACGGCUCACCAAGGCCACGAUGCAUAGGCGACCUGAGGGGGGGAACGGCCACCCGGGGACUGGAACCCGGCCCAGCCCCCUACGGGAGGAAGGCGGAGGGAAUCUUGGGAAAGGGACGAAAGUUUGACCGAGCAACGCCGGGGGAGUGAAGAAGGUUUUCGGAUCGGAAAACCCUGUUGUUAGAAAAGAACAAGGACGUUAGUAACUGAACGUCCCCGGACGGUAUCAAACAAGAAAGCCCCGGCUAACUACGG